AGUGAACGCUGGCGGUAGGCCUAACACAUGCAAGUCGAACGGACGCACAGUAAGAGUUUGCUCUUACGGGUAGCGAGUGACGGACGGGUGAGGAAUACAUCGGAAUCUAAUAUUACGUGGGGGAUUACGUAGGGAAACUUACGCUAACACCGAAUACGUUCUACGGGUGAAAUCAGUGGUGGUUGGGACUUUGCGCGUUUUAAUGAGACGAUGUCGGCUUAGCUAGUUGGCUGGGUAAAGGCCCACCAAGGCGACGAUCCGUAGCGGGUCUGAGAGGAUGAUCAGCCACACUGGAACUGAGACACGGUCCAGACUCCUACGGGAGGCAGCAGUGGGGAAUAUUGGACAAUGGGCGCAAGCCUGAUCCAGCCAUACCGCGUGGGUGAAGAAGGCCUUCGGGUUGUAAAGCCCUUUUGUUGGGAAAGAAAAGCAGCAGGUUAAUACCCCGCUGUUCUGACGGUACCCAAAGAAUAAGCACCGGCUAACUUCGUG
rnacentral:rRNA from 1 species